AUUAUUUGUGAAUUCCAAAGGGACUCAGAAGAAAAACUUUAACACCUGGAAGUUAAACAACCUCAUACUCAAUAACCAGUGGGUCUGAGAUGUAAUCAAGGAGGAAAUCAAAAGGUUCCUGGAAACAAAUGAUAAUAAAGACUCAAACUAUCAGAAAUUAUGGGACACAGCAAAAGCAGUACUGAGAGGAAAAUUUAUAGCUUUGCAAGAACACAUCAGGAA